rnacentral:rRNA from 1 species
AACGAACGCUGGCGGCAGGCCUAACACAUGCAAGUCGAGCGAGGACUUCGGUCCUAGCGGCGGACGGGUGAGUAACGCGUGGGAACGUGCCCUUUGCUUCGGAAUAGCCCUGGGAAACUGGGAGUAAUACCGGAUGAGCCCUUUGGGGGGAGGAUUUAUCGGCGAAGGAUCGGCCCGCGUUGGAUUAGGUAGUUGGUGGGGUAAUGGCCUACCAAGCCGACGAUCCAUAGCUGGUUUGAGAGGAUGAUCAGCCACACUGGGACUGAGACACGGCCCAGACUCCUACGGGAGGCAGCAGUGGGGAAUCUUAGACAAUGGGGGAAACCCUGAUCGAGCCAUGCCGCGUGAGCGAUGAAGGCCUUAGGGUUGUAAAGCUCUUUCAGCUGGGAAGAUAAUGACGGUACCAGCAGAAGAAGCCCCGGCUAACUCCGUG